rnacentral:lncRNA from 7 species
CUCCCCUUUCUCUUGUGCAGCCGCCCCCCUCUCUCUAGGUUUGGAGGACGCCCCUCUCACUCCUCCACCCAUUUGCAGCCGCCACCCCACCUCCCCCAUCAAACCCUAGCCGCCCCCUCCUCAAGCCCUUCUCUUCAAGGUGCCAUUCCUUUCCCGCUCGGAUCUACGUCACGUUGGUGCAUGUCUCCAAUUGGAUUUUGGUGGAGGGAAGAAGAAGGAAGGAAAGGGGGAGGAUUCAAGGUGGUGGACUUCCGGAUCGUACUUAGGGAUUUGCCCGAACUUCCGGUAAAGGUACUUGAUACAUGUUGGGAAUGAGGGGAGUAGCAGCACGUCCACUUUCACUCUCACAAUAGCGUUGCCGAGGUGCAACCAUGAUUUAAUUAGAAAUUUAUUGUCAAAAAAAGUUUGUUUUUUUAACUAGUCGUGCGCACUAGUUAAUUCAGUUCAUGUCGUAUGUUUAACUUCUCUUUGCUAGCCGAUUAAUAGUACUUAGUAUGUUUUUGUCAUGAUAUAUGUUUAUACACUGUUGCCCCCCCUCGUUUAUGCAAUUUUGCAAAGGGGAUGCUGCCGAAAUUUUAUAUAUAGAUGGUAGAAGUGUUGUUUAGUAGCAUUUCGGGGUGUUUGUGGACCCUCGGGGUGUUACAUUAAGUGAGGAGUAGAGAAGAUUCUAAGGGGAAUAGUUUAUUAUUAAUGUUAUAUUUUUUAUGCUCUUAUGGCCAUCAUUCCAUAAGACCAUUG